AUUGAACGCUGGCGGCAGGCCUAACACAUGCAAGUCGAACGAGUGGCGGACGGGUGAGUAGUGUAGGGGAAAAUGCCUGAUGGAGGGGGCUAACUACGGGAAACGGUAGCUAAUACAGCAUAACCUAGGAUGUGACCAGAUGGGAUUAUGUAGGAGGUGGGGUAAAGGCUCACGUAGGCGACGAUCCCUAGCUGGUCUGAGAGGAUGACCAGCCACACUGGAACUGAGACACGGUCCAGACUCCUACGUGAGGCAGCAGUGGGGAAUAUUGCACAAUGGGCGCAAGCCUGAUGCAGCCAUGCCGCGUGUAUGAAGAAGGCCUUCGGGUUGUAAAGUACUUUCAGCUGGGAGGCGUUACCCGCAGAAGAAGCACCGGCUAACGCCGUGCCAGCAGCCGCGGUAAUUC
rnacentral:rRNA from 1 species